rnacentral:misc_RNA from 1 species
GGGAAUUUCAAUUUUCCUCAUGCAAGCAGGGAUGCUGGGAACCCUUCAAGCACUGUGGGAUGUCUUCCCCCUAUUUACAAAUACCGCAUGGGGAGAGAAUUCAAAUAUUAGAUUCCUUGAGAAGCGCAUGGGAGCUACCUUUGAACAACGUCCUCAGCCCUGGGUUACCAACAUCAGUACCAAUGAUAUUCACUCAGGAGAUUUCCUUGCAAUAUCAAAAAUUCGUGGGAGGUG